CGUUAGCGGCGGACGGGUGAGUAACACGUGGGUAACCUACCUAUAAGACUGGAAUAACUCCGGGAAACCGGGGCUAAUGCCGGAUAACAUUUAGAACCGCAUGGUUCUAAAGUGAAAGAUGGUUUUGCUAUCACUUAUAGAUGGACCCGCGCCGUAUUAGCUAGUUGGUAAGGUAACGGCUUACCAAGGCAACGAUACGUAGCCGACCUGAGAGGGUGAUCGGCCACACUGGAACUGAGACACGGUCCAGACUCCUACGGGAGGCAGCAGUAGGGAAUCUUCCGCAAUGGGCGAAAGCCUGACGGAGCAACGCCGCGUGAGUGAUGAAGGUCUUCGGAUCGUAAAACUCUGUUAUUAGGGAAGAACAAAUGUGUAAGUAACUAUGCACGUCUUGACGGUACCUAAUCAGAAAGCCACGGCUAACUACGUGCCAGCAGCCGCGGUAAUACGUAGGUGGCAAGCGUUAUCCGGAAUUAUUGGGCGUAAAGCGCGCGUAGGCGGUUUCUUAAGUCUGAUGUGAAAGCCCACGGCUCAACCGUGGAGGGUCAUUGGAAACUGGGAAACUUGAGUGCAGAAGAGGAAAGUGGAAUUCCAUGUGUAGCGGUGAAAUGCGCAGAGAUAUGGAGGAACACCAGUGGCGAAGGCGACUUUCUGGUCUGUAACUGACGCUGAUGUGCGAAAGCGUGGGGAUCAAACAGGAUUAGAUACCCUGGUAGUCCACGCCGUAAACGAUGAGUGCUAAGUGUUAGGGGGUUUCCGCCCCUUAGUGCUGCAGCUAACGCAUUAAGCACUCCGCCUGG
rnacentral:rRNA from 1 species